rnacentral:rRNA from 1 species
AACGAACGCUGGCGGCAUGCCUAACACAUGCAAGUCGAACGAGACCUUCCGGUCUAGUGGCGCACGGGUGCGUAACGCAUGGGAACCUGCCCUUAGGUUCGGAAUAACUCCCCGAAAGGGGUGCUAAUACCGGAUAAUGUCUUCGGACCAAAGAUUUAUCGCCUUUGGAUGGGCCCGCGUUGGAUUAGCUAGUUGGUAGGGUAAAAGCCUACCAAGGCGACGAUCCAUAGCUGGUCUGAGAGGAUGAUCAGCCACACUGGGACUGAGACACGGCCCAGACUCCUACGGGAGGCAGCAGUGGGGAAUAUUGGACAAUGGGCGAAAGCCUGAUCCAGCAAUGCCGCGUGAGUGAUGAAGGCCUUAGGGUUGUAAAGCUCUUUUACCCGGGAUGAUAAUGACAGUACCGGGAGAAUAAGCUCCGGCUAACUCCGUG